rnacentral:snRNA from 1 species
NNNNGUGAGGGCGAUCUGGCUGUGACACCUGUCACCCCAUGGAUCGCCAGGGUUGACUUGGCUGAUCUGGCUGGCUAGGCGGGUGUCCCCUUCCUCCCUCACCACUCCACGUGCGUCCCUCCCGAAGCUGCGCGCUCGGUGGAAGAGGACGACCUUCCCCGAUAGAGGAGGACCGUUCUUCCGUCAAGGGUAUACGAGCAGCUGCGCUCCCCUGCUAGAACCUCCAAACAAGCUCUCAAGACAGACAGACAAGGAUACUCGUGUUUAUACUAUCUCCUCCACUAGAGGAAGGGGAGCAGGUGUGAGUCCAGGGGAAAAGGGACUUACCUUCUGCAGCGCCUUGUCC